rnacentral:rRNA from 1 species
UACGUAGGGGGCAAGCGUUGUCCGGAAUCAUUGGGCGUAAAGAGCGUGUAGGCGGCUUGGUAAGUCCGCUGUGAAAGUCCAGGGCUCAACCCUGGAAUGCCGGUGGAAACUGUCAAGCUUGAGUCCGGAAGAGGCGAGUGGAAUUCCUGGUGUAGCGGUGAAAUGCGCAGAUAUCAGGAAGAACACCAGCGGCGAAGGCGGCACUCUGGGCUGGUAUUGACGCUGAGGAGCGAAAGUGUGGGUAGCAAACAGG